UACGUAGGGGGCAAGCGUUGUCCGGAAUCAUUGGGCGUAAAGAGCGUGUAGGCGGCCCGGUAAGUCCGCUGUGAAAGUCCAGGGCUCAACCCUGGAAUGCCGGUGGAAACUGUCGGGCUAGAGUCCGGAAGAGGCGAGUGGAAUUCCUGGUGUAGCGGUGAAAUGCGCAGAUAUCAGGAGGAACACCAAUGGCGAAGGCAGCACUCUGGGACGUGACUGACGCUGAGACGCGAAAGCGUGGGGAGCAAACAGG
rnacentral:rRNA from 1 species